rnacentral:rRNA from 1 species
AUACCCUGGUAGUCCACGCCGUAAACGAUGUCGACUAGCCGUUGGGAUCCUUGAGAUCUUAGUGGCGCAGCUAACGCAUUAAGUCGACCGCCUGGGGAGUACGGCCGCAAGGUUAAAACUCAAAUGAAUUGACGGGGGCCCGCACAAGCGGUGGAGCAUGUGGUUUAAUUCGUUGCUACACGAAGAACCUUACCUGGGUUUGACAUAGCAGUGGUAGGGAAGCGAAAGCGGACCGACCCUUCGGGGAGCUGUUACAGGUGUUGCAUGGCUGUCGUCAGCUCGUGUCGUGAGAUGUUCGGUUAAGUCCGCUAACGAGCGCAACCCUCGCUGUGUGUUACAAGUGUCACACGGUACUGCCGGUAUUAAGUCGGAGGAAGGUGGGGAUGACGUCAAGUCAGCAUGACCUUUAUAUCCAGGGCUACACACACGCUACAAUGGUCAGUACAAUAGGUUGCCAAGCCGCGAGGCGGAGCCAAUCCUAAAAAGCUGGCCUCAGUUCAGAUUGCAGUCUGCAACUCGACUGCAUGAAGUUGGAGUUGCUAGUAACCGCAGGUCAGCUAUACUGCGGUGAAUACGUUCCCGGGGAUUGUACACACCGCCCGUCAAGUCAUGGGAGCUGGCAACACCUGAAGCCGGUAUCCUAACCCGCAAGGGAGGGAGCUGUCAAAGGUGGGGUCGGUGACUGGGACUAAGUCGUAACAAGGUAACCGUA